CUAGUAUGGCCACUCAUCCACCUAAAAUUUAACCCAUUGUAAUUUGUGAAAUAGUUACUAUAUUUAUUUUGUUCAGAAUAAAAUUUGCUUUAGGGAGAAUAAUUUGAAAUAACAUAUCAAAAAUGGCCCAUGCAGGUCUCGAACCUGCGACCUUCGCGUUAUUAGCACGACGCUCUAACCAACUAAGCUAAUAGGCCAUCUCAUAACAGUUACAUUGACGCUAUUGCAUGUAAAUAGCCAACGGAGCUUGAAAGGGAAACAAGUAUGAAAGUAUAUUAUUGACAUACUUCAGCUUAAAAUGGGUAGGUCAAUAAGGCUUGAGGAAACCAGUUACAUGUAAAAAUGAACUCCCUUGGGAAAGGGCUAAGACUGAGAGUACAUCAACUUGAUGAAAUUGGGUGGAUAUGUUAAUGUCCAAAUUCAAAAGAAAUGUGCAUCUGAUAUUAAUGAUCCUUUGCUUGUACGAUAUCUUACGAGGGGGAACCGGUAGUGAAUGUGAUGCAAUAUAUCAAGAACGUAUUAGGUGUUACGUUCAUUGUAGGAUUAGGAAAUUUAGACUUUUGUUAGGUUAAGAAUUUGGUUAUUAUUAUUAAAUUUGUUAUUAUGUUAAUCUAUUUUAAUUUAGUAUUCCUAACUAGAAUUGAAUUAGGGUUUCUAAUCCUGCUGUGAUUAGGGUUGUGAACUCUAUAUAUAGGCCUUAAUUUUCUACAAAAUUUAGAUCCUUUGUUGUGACAUUAUUCAAUUGAGUAUUAACAAUUUUGAGAAUUUGUUUCUCUUGGAAAUUAGUUUUCCUUUGAUUUUCCUGGUUCAUCAUCAGUUUGGUAUCGGAGCGAGUAAAACCUUACCUAGUGAAUUGAACCCAAUGUUCCAGAAUUUGCCCUCACAUUUGUUUCCCUCAAAAUUUUGAAACCUCUAUUUCCUAGCCACCCUCACCCAAGUUGCCCACAUCCUCGCAAGCCCGUUGCCCUCUGCCAAGCCCUCGCAAGCGCUGUUCUCAUGAUAUUAAAAAUAAAAUAAAAAAUAAAUUAAAAAAAGCCUUCAAAACUCAGAAACAUAACCGUCGCCAAGAGCAAUAAGAACCACAGAUUUCUUUUCUGUUCUUUUUUCUUUCUUGGAAUUCUUCUUCCUAUUUUCUUGAUUUUCCCUCAAAUUUUCUUUCCCUGAGUUCUUAUUCUACUUUCCAAGAAUCAUAUUUCUACCCUUUCUUAUUUUUCUUCACUUCUUGAAGUUCUUCACAUGUGAGCUUUGCUUCCAAUACAUUCCAGUGGUAUUGCAAGAAUGACUAGAUCUGGGUUAGUCACUCAAGACUCAAGAAUCUCUGUGUUGGAGGAAAUAGUUAGGGUUUUGCAGACGGAAUCCAAGAAGGAUAGGGAUGAUUUGAGGGAGGAAAUGAAGCAGCAUGCCUUGCAGAGUGCAAUAGAGAUUAGACAGAAGUAGACAGAAGAUCAGGGAGAAGUUAAAAGCCAUUUUUGGGGAUUCUUUGCCUGAUAAAACUAAAGGAAGUGAUCCUGGAGCAAAUGAAGAAGUGGGAACCUCUAUUGCUGUCCUCGGGAGUAAGGGUAUUCUCCCUAAUCCAAAGGAGAAAGUCAACUACCAACAAGAAGGAAUUGUUAGCAAUGGAUCAGUAGCGGAGAAUGAAGAUAAACAUAUAAUUGAUGAAGAUUGAUAACUAUUGAUAUCGGGAGCAUCUACAUGAUGGACACAUAGACUGGGUACUAUUUAAAGGGACUAAGAGCACUUGAGUAGUUUCUAAGCAUAUACGACUACCUUCGAGUACUUUUAUGGAAUGUACCAUUGCCUUUUGCAAUUUAGGAUUGGAGAUUUUCUGAUUACCUGUAAACUAUACUAGAGAAUGGGAACCAAACUCAACCACUUCUCUCACAAGAUUUUAAGAGUAAGUGACCAAAGUAAGCUUACGCUUUAGUACCCAAAUGAGAGAAGGGCAAAGGAUAGUAUAAAGGGCAUGAAUCUAUCUCUUGCUUGAAAUGGUAGGUAUCUAUUUACACAAUAAGGGGGCCAAUAACAAAUGAACACGUGUAAAUUUAUUCUCAAGUGAGCUAUUCUAAUCGUAGAAAUUUGCACAAGAGGUCUAAAAUACAUUUUAGGGUAAUGAUGACUCGGACAUAUCUGAGAUGAUGGAGAUUAAAGGUAUCACAAUGAAUUUAUUGAGUGGUUAGUCCACUCAACCUGUUCAUCAAGGGUAACUGACCAAACGAAUUGUUUUUCCAAGAUAACUAUUAAAAGUAGGUCAGCAGAGAGCAUGAAUUACCUUUAAAUGGGAUUAUAGCCUUUAAUUUUAUU
rnacentral:tRNA from 1 species